AGCAGCCGCGGUAAUUCCAGCUCCAAUAGCGUAUAUUAAAGUUGUUGCAGUUAAAAAGCUCGUAGUUGAAUUUCGGGGUCAGCAGGUUGGUCGUGCCACUGGUAUGCACUGGCCUUGCUGAUUCCUCCCUCUUGAUGAACCGUAAUGCCAUUAAUUUGGUGUUGCGGGGAAUCAGGACUGUUACUUUGAAAAAAUUAGAGUGUUUAAAGCAGGCAAGCGCUUGAAUACAUUAGCAUGGAAUAAUGAAAUAGGACGUUUGAUCCUAUUUUGUUGGUUUCUAGGAUUGACGUAAUGAUUAAUAGGGAUAGUUGGGGGCAUUAGUAUUCAAUUGUCAGAGGUGAAAUUCUUGGAUUUAUUGAAGACUAACUACUGCGAAAGCAUUUGCCAAGGAUGUUUUCAUUAAUCAAGAACGAAAGUUAGGGGAUCGAAGACGAUCAGAUACCGUCGUAGUCUUAACCAUAAACUAUGCCGACUAGGGAUCGGAUGAUGUUAAUUUUUAAUGACUCAUUC
rnacentral:rRNA from 1 species